rnacentral:rRNA from 1 species
UACGUAGGGUGCGAGCGUUAAUCGGAAUUACUGGCGUAAGGGUGCGCAGCGGUCUCGUAAGCUGGGUGUGAAAGCCCCGGGCUUAACCUGGGAAUGGCAUUCAGGACUGCGAGGCUUUGAGUGUGGCAGAGGGAGGUGGAAUUCCACGUGUAGCAGUGAAAUGCGUAGAGAUGUGGAGGAACACCGAUGGCGAAGGCAGCCUCCUGGGCCAGCACUGACGCUCAUGCACGAAAGCGUGGGGAGCAAACAGG